rnacentral:rRNA from 1 species
UACGUAGGGUGCAAGCGUUAAUCGGAAUUACUGGGCGUAAAGCGUGCGCAGGCGGUGAUGUAAGACAGAUGUGAAAUCCCCGGGCUCAACCUGGGAACUGCAUUUGUGACUGCAUCGCUGGAGUACGGCAGAGGGGGAUGGGAUUCCGCGUGUAGCAGUGAAAUGCGUAGAUAUGCGGAGGAACACCGAUGGCGAAGGCAAUCCCCUGGGCCUGUACUGACGCUCAUGCACGAAAGCGUGGGGAGCAAACAGG